CGUCCUCUCUCUCUCUCUCUCUCUCUCUCUCUCUCUCUAUCACAUCUGUGCUUGAUGAAAUGAACAAGGCCAUGGGAGUGAAAUAGAGAGUGAGAAGCACGGCUGCUUCCAGGCGGAGGCCCUCCGCUGCGUGGUGCCCUUAUUCGAGAUGCCACUAAAGGAGACACAGCGAGCACGGAGGAAGAACGGGGAGAGCUACGGCUACGCCGGCGGGUUGAGAAGGAAGGAGAGCUUGUCUUUAAGCUGCGCGCCCCCUCUUCUUUGUUCGGCGACGGCGUCGUCUUCGACUGCUUCCGGAAGACGUUGGACCCCGAUUUCAGAAACAUUAGGUGAAUAACCAAACGGUACCAUCUAUCGCUUGGCCGUAUGAUCUCUGUACAGCUUUCUAUGGCCCCGGUCUUUCAGGAGGGCCUUUCCCUCCGCAUGAACACUCCCAACUGAAGUUCCUGCUCGCUGCCAUCUGUGGCGGAGCAGCCAUAUAAAUAAUGAGGAAAAAUUAAAUCUCUCUGAAGCUCAAAAUAUCUCAAAAUAGCGGGAGGAAAUUUAACCCUUUUUUGUUACGACCCAGAUGCUCCAAAAGGUCACGCAGCAGUUUGGCCAUUAUUUUUUACGAGGGACACCUAUAAAGCAAUGUAGACUUAGCCAAAAAGGUCACAUCUGCUGUUCGUCUUUAUUCAGACUCAAGUGGAGGGCGCAGAAAAGUUCUCUCUCUCUACUCCUUGAUUUUAUUUUAUAUUUCUGGCUCAAGUUUGAAGACAUUUAACUCGUACUAAAGUUCUCCAACAAAGAUGGGUCACAUAUGCGAUGAUUACAAUUUGUGAACGACUGAUAAUAGUACAAGUCUUAAGAGCAAGGUUCGUCAAAACAAUUACAACUGAAAAGCUGAAGUUUUAUUACGGUGUCAAGUGAUUUCUUUCUGCAAAUAGAUAAUGAAGUAGGGAAGGGAUGACGGAUUAUGUAUCUGACAUUUCUUCCAAGGCAUGAGAAAUUUGCAUAUCAGCGUCAGGCUUCUCCAAGUCUUAUUGAACUUGGUCAUAACUUUUUCGUUAAAAAUAAAACUAAAUCAAUGUAUGUGUAACCUCUGCCUAACCAAGUUUACGCCACGUAUGGAUAUUGAUUGGAAGAAAUAUUGUUGAAAACUAGACUGAAUUAAGUGAGUUUUUAGGGAUUGAAGUGCUUGCUAUACAGGUAAAUUUUGUGCAUUCAGUCAUCACUUUUGAAGAAGGGAAGUGCGGAAAUGACCAAUGGCAACUUCCCCUUGCUAGCUUUCUUUCAAGCAAUUCUACAAAGUAGAGGGUGAUUCAAUGUGUGGUUCUCAAAUUAGUACAGUCUUGAACUUACUGUGAUUAGGGCAGAAGGAUCAUUCUCUCGAUUAAUGUAACUACGAAAUUUUCAGUUCGCUAGUGUAGUCUGAUGAGAAUUAAUCAUUUAGCCUUUGUACUGAUUCAAUUCAGUGGAAAUGGGAAAUCUUGGGCUUCCGCCGAUUCCUUUUUGAUCUUUCCGUUGACCUUCCACAUGUUUAUUCCCUUCUUGUUAAGACGUAUGUUGAUGCUUCGUAGUUUCAUUGAAUGUUGAGGAAUUAAACUUGAGAUCCCUGUGAGGGUUGUCGAAUGGUCAGUUUGAUUUUACGCUUGAAAUUUUUUACCCCUUUUUAUUGCUUUCUAUUUGAAGGCAUUCCGAUAUUUUUUUUUCUUCUCUUGUCAAAUGGUCAUCCCAAUAUUUUGUUUCUUCUCUUGUCACCUGAAAUUUUUUUUCUUUGAUCACAUUAAGUGAAAAGUUAUUCUUCUUCUUGAUGGAAGAAUAAAAUGCACUUAAGCCGUUUUAAUUUUAGCAGAUGACAUUUUUUUUCUGUAAAAUGAAAUUUAAAUAAAAUUAAAGGAGUUUUUAUGUCCCCUUAACCCAGGGUCUCCUUUCAAAAGAAUACGCCGCCUGGGGGCUUUACCAGGGCUAACUAGUAAAAUACCUAAAUCUGGAAGUGAUCUUAAAAACCAAAUUCGUUCUGGUAAAAGAUCACAAUAACCCCUUGUAACUCAUUGCCAAGUUCACAUUAAUUCAGAUGGGCUGCUCAAAUCUUUUGAAGGGAAAACCAACCUCUGACUCUAGAAUGUUUCUAGAACUAUGUAGAGUCCCCUUUAUUCUCACGUAGAAAGUGGUGCACCUCAGGUUCUUCUCAUACUGACAACUAAUCCUUGCUAUUUAUGUUCCUGUUAUCUUCAACUUAGUUUCAUAUGCGGAUGAAUAGUGGUCUAGAUUUUUGAGCCAUUUUCCCAAGUCAAAGUGAAGCUGGUGGGCCAGGAGACACUUAAAAUAUAGGGUUUGGUCCGCAUAAAGUCUAUUCCAUUCUGUCUUCUCUUCUAUGAUAAUUAAAUUUGUAUUUGUUUGUGUCUUCAUGUUGGGAUGGAAGAGAAAUUUGCAAUUGAACUAUCUUGUAGGGAAAUCUCGAAUUCCAGAUCACCUUGUUUGCAUAAAGAUUAACCUGCGAGCCUGCAUAUUACCUGAUGCAAGGAGGCCUGUAGCUUAGAUUUUUUCUGAAUCUUGCAUAAUAAAACUGCUGUACCUGUCCUCGAUCCUAUUAUGAAUUUAUUUUUAUCAGAUGUUUUAUUUUUUAAAAUCAAUCAGAUCUCACUUCGUCUACAUUUUGUGUUUUAUUAUUCACUUUCUUAUUUUACAAAGCAUAAGUCUCUUAGUUUUGGUUUUCUUCGUACUAGUCCGAGGGAUCCACAGGCAGUUCAAGCCCAGCAACGGUGUAUAUUCAAUAAUCUCUUAUUUACUGGGUUUUCAUAACUUAUUAGCGGACAAACAUAUUGAUAUAUCAUUUCCAAGAUGGGCUUUCGUCACGAUAAAUUAACAGCUGUGGGAUUUGUAUUCCUUCCUGGAUUCUUUUCCGAAAACGUUCAGCUAUCUAAUUGACCAUAACGUUUGGAAUGUUUGUAAUUGGUCAUAUACUUUGUUCUCAAUAUUUUUUUCUCAGUUUUUUUUAUUGAUAUAUGAGCGGACUAAUUUGUCAACCUUUAGGUCUAUUAAGAAGAAAAACAAAACUGGGAAUUUAGAUCAUUAUCAUAUCCUUGUGUUCUUUUCUGAAGCGUUGAUACCUGGACGUCUGCCCUUGUUUCAGCUAUAUGAUUGAGUAGACCAUGUUGAAUAGACCAUAAUUGGUCAUAUGUAUGACUUUUAAUUAUUUUUUUUGAAUUAAUAGUCACACUCUCAGUAGUACAGUGUCAUCAACGUUAUAGAACUCCAUGGGCAGAUGCUGGUGGUCUUUGGUUUUCGCAUGCUGCAGGCUAUUUUUUGCGAACACAUUGAUAUAAUAAGCUUUAUAUGAGACCAGCUACUCAUCGCAAGUUUUGGAGCCUCCGUUUUCAAUGAAACUUUCAAAAAUUGCCCACUUUGUUAAAGGUCCAAGCUUGUGGAAACACUGCUAUAGGGACCUGAAUUAAUACUUAAAAUGUCAUCUAUAAGAACUUUGAAUGAGUACAAAUAAGGGGCUUAAGUUUUCUCUGUUCUUCCAGCGGGUGGUGAUCGUUUUUCAUCCUUUCCUUCGUCCAUUCUUUAAAUAUGUUCUCCUUAGAGAUUUAUCUCGAUCUCAAGGAUAGUUCACAAAAGGAUUUUAAAAUUUAUUUUAUCCAGCUUUAAAUUUAUUUAUUUUUGGAGUUGCAUCCCGGAUUUGGCAUUACUUUUUGAUAUAUCUAAACUUUAUGUAAUUUCAGAUAUCACAAUUAGUGGUGGUUAAUGGAUCAAAGCGACAAUAAAUGCCCACUAAGCCAGAUUCGUCAGUAGGUAAGGAGAUGGAUGCCAACAAGGUCUAUGGUUAAGAUCUAAGGAAGGUCCUGAAUAUUUUCCAUAUUCGUGUAGAACUGUGGCAUACACCUCAGGAACUGUGCGGAGGCAACCAGGCAAUCAGGGCGGGCCACCAAGAUGGCGUUACGGCUGAGCCACUCAAGAGGUGCUUGGGCCACCUGCACAGAGAAGUCCGCAUCAUCGAUUCACCUGGAUACAGAAGCAGACAGCCAUUCGCCUACGCGUCUGGCUGAGAUAGAACAGAAUUGUAAUUAGUCACAAUUGAAAUUUCUACUAUCAGACAACAUCUGAAAAUAAAUUCGAUUAAUUCCAUGUAUGACAUCGUUGCACAGAAAAAGCAAUGAUGUGUCAUUUACCAUUCCACUUGGUAUAUUUUGUUAAUGAAAAUUUUAUUUAUUUACUCCCAACUGUUCAAAGUCCUUGGUAGAAAGAAGAAGAAG
rnacentral:lncRNA from 1 species